GAUGAACGUUGGCGGCGUGUCUAACACAUGCAAGUCGAACGAAAGUAGCAAUACUUUAGUGGCGCACGGGUGAGUAACACGUAGCUUACCUCCCUCUCAGCGCGGGAUAACGACUCGAAAGAGUUGCUAAUACCGCAUAAGCUCACGGGUUCUAGAGACUUGUGAGAAAAGGUGCAAAUCACUGAGAGACGGGGCUGCGGCCCAUCAGCUAGUUGGCGCGGUAAAGGCGCACCAAGGCGACGACGGGUAGGGGACCUGAGAGGGU
rnacentral:rRNA from 1 species